CCUACGGGUGGCUGCAGUAGGGAAUCUUCCACAAUGGGCGAAAGCCUGAUGGAGCAACGCCGCGUGGGUGAAGAAGGUCUUCGGAUCGUAAAACCCUGUUGUUAGAGAAGAAAGUGCGUGAGAGUAACUGUUCACGUUUCGACGGUAUCUAACCAGAAAGCCACGGCCAACUACGUGCCAGCAGCCGCGGUAAUAGGGAGGUGGCAAGAGUUAUCCGGAUUUAGUGGGCGUAAAGGGAACGCAGGCGGUCUUUUAAGUCGGAUGUGAAAGCCUUCGGCUUAACCGGAGUAGUGCAUUGGAGACGGGGAGACGUGAGUGCAGAAGAGGAGGGUGGAACGCGAGGGGUAGCGGUGAAAUGCGUAGAUAUAUGGAAGAACACCAGUGGCGAAGGCGGCUCUCUGGUCUGUAACUGACGCUGAGGUUCGAAAGCGUGGGUAGCAAACAGGAUUAGAUACCCCUGUAGUC
rnacentral:rRNA from 1 species